GGGGUAGUAUUUAUUAGUCGA
rnacentral:misc_RNA from 1 species